rnacentral:rRNA from 1 species
UACCUUUCGGUCCUGGUUAGGACUCUGCUCUCGGUCUGGUUAGGAGAAGGGCUUUAGGUGGCGUGAAGGUUAGGAGAGGCAGGAGCUCGGGAAGAAGAAGAGAGAGGUGCGACAGGGCAGAGGGGACGAGACCGUGGCGGCGGAAGAGAGGGGCCGCGAACUACACGUCGGCGCCCCGCGGUGAUGCAAGAGCUAGGUCGGCCCAGCCCGCGGCCAGCGGCCGCAGUGCGCGGCGCACGGCACUAAGACCUAGACCGGCGGCUACUUUUCACCACCACCCCCUUCUCUCGCGGGAACAGGAGCCACAGGCCCGGCGGUACCGACUGCGGUCUCGGGAACCGACCGGAACUCUAGCAGGCAGUAGCCGUAGGAGCAGUAGGUAGGUUCGCGGUUCAGGAGCUGCGUAGACGUCGGUGACCUAGAGGUGGCAAGCCAGGGGCGGAUGCAGGUGAGGGGGGAGGAUAACGAAAUAAGGGUUGCCGCCCCACCCUGCCCGCACCCGGGGCUUCUGGCGCUAGGACCGAGUAGACCGUCACCCCCGCAAGGACCGCGUGACACCCAGCUCGAGCGACGACCUCCGCCGCCGCCGCCGGCCGCGCGGCUACGUCUGUACCGGCGACCACAAGCUGGCCAAGUAGCUCCUCUCCGACCAGUGGCUGCAGGGGUUCUAGCCGCUCUUCCACACCCCGUCUCGCGCCUCGUGCUUCCUCCUCUUCCUCUACCACGGCCGGUUCCGCCACUGCAACCCGCCACCGCUCCAAGAACCUUGGUCCGCCUUGCCCCCUCUGCCGCUCCCCGGCUCACGUCCCCGAGCGUCACUUCCGAGCGCGCCGGCACAGCCUUCCGCCCAGCAGGACACUAGACGCGUCCGAAUAGCUGCUGGACUACCUUUGUUCCCUCCGGCAGCGGCCGCCGCUGUGAUGAUGCAGUGCGCGACGACUCUAUAUCGCGGUAGCAACCUAAACGACCAUGACCUAGGUCGCCCUCCUCUAGGGACUCCGUAAACUAAGAACACCCUAAGGGUGUGUAGAACGUCCUAGUUGUCCAAUAGCCGUGGAAGAGUCAGGGAGACGUGGGUACUGGGUCCGGUUUGGUUCAUGAACGUAUAACUUCUUUGAAGGUACGACAAAAUGCGCACCUAAGAUUGUUGACUAGAUCGUAUAUACAAUAGUAUCGUCUUAUUCUCUACGCGAGGUUGGUCACCUAAAAAGUAGGUUCUACGAAGAUAUUCUUUACGCCGUUUGUAGUCAUUACCUGACGUGGUCCAUAGUAGAGACACGGUACCCCACACAGCACCCCUGACUAGGCACCGACUCCAGCUGUUUUUUUUUGUCCCCUCGGGUGAUUGUUGGUUUAAGGUCUGACCAAAAACAGUAUAGUCUGUAAUCAGUACUUUCAACGUCAGAAAGUAAAAAUAGUAUGUUUCGUGUGACUAACCAAGAGUGCCCUAUCGCUACGGAAAGUCAACAAGAACAGUCAUGUAGGCUCGUCAAGCAAAUUUAGGUGUAUUGUCACGGAAAUCAUCCGCUAUCGUUCCGUCAGUCUGUUAGAAUCAAACCCCUUUAUUCUAUCCAAUGGACUGCUAUGUAACUUUCUCCUUCCUUAUAACUAUAAAGCAGCUACCGCACUGGACGUUUUCCUACGAGAACCACUGUCGUAGGACCCGAAGACUUUGUACGAGUCAAGUCGACUUUCCUACAUAAGUUAAUACGUCUCUCUACCUUAACAAGCUUGAGGUCACGAUGGUUAGCUGCUGUACGGUUCUGUAAUGGUGUUCUCGUAGCCACGAAGGUCCUACUUCUUACUUACGUACAGUAAAUCCCUAUUGCCACCCGUUACUUUACAACUUCCCAGGUAGAGAGUGGGGUGAGGUAUAUCUACGAAUCAAGAAGUACCGCUAACAGAGAUUACAAAAACAAACAUUAUAUAAAACCGAACCUUUAUAUUUUUGAGGUACGGCGGACAGUGUGUUAAAAAGCAGCAGGCCCGUUUGGGGGAAAAGGUAAUUAAAGAACUACAUACCAAUACUACGUCAGAAGAUCUGCUUCUACCUAAAUCCAACACACUAAGGUGUCAUAUGUAACGUGAAGGAAAUUCGUACUUAUAGACUUGCACGUGCCACAUAUAAAGAGUCAGUACAACAAAAAGACAAAUAUAAAGGUCCUAUGUAUAUCAUGUACAUAACGUAAUCUUAUAUUGAAGAUGAAAACACGAUAAUAAAAGGAAGUACCAUAUACACCGUCUUGUGGUACAUAUAGAUUAUAGAAGUCCAAAGUCCUAAAUUUACGGGAAACAAAAGACAUGCUCCACCAAUGGACCCUAAAAUAAACUAAUGAGAUAAUCUAGUACUCGUUUAAUUCUGUAUAUAACUAGAACGUUAACUAUCGUAAAGGACAGUAUAACAACUAAGAGAAUGUCUAGGUGGUGGAGUCUACCACGACUGUCCCCACGUUUCGUCAGAAGGAACUCGAAACCAUGGCUCAAAAUUCCUCUUGUAAACGGGAGUACUUCGGGGUGAAACACCAGUAACGUCGACAUCGAUUCCUCCCAUGGGCAGUCGCGGUCGAGUGACGAACGGAUACAUUAGUUAGAUAUAAAGGUUGGAAAAACAAAUACCGAGAGUACCUCUAAGUGCUACAUCACCAGCGUGAAGUUUUGUGAAGUCGGUGUUGUAGAGUCAAGGAUCUCCUUUUUCCGUACAUGAGUCUACUACUUCACGGACUAGGUAAGAUAUCACCCGUAAGACUACUUCUAAGUCGACUACUAACAGCAGUUCUGCACCUGCUGCUGAUACUAGUGAUACAGGCUAGGGGUACUCGUAGCAUAAGUCGGACGAUUCUACAGACUACGGUACACUUCGACAUAUACAUAUCGAAGUGGUAAUGCUGAACCGGAACACCGACAACACAAAUAAGAGGAUACAACCGACUUAUUCUACGCUUCGAGAAACAAAUAUCGAGGCGGAAUCUAAGGGGGGGGGGGGAAAAACUUGACACGAUACCAGUACAUAUUAAUACUUUAGGUACAACUACACAACUCUGUUACAAUAAAUAGAUACAACGUAGAAACGAAAACGG